UGUGUGUGUGUGUGUGUGUGUGUGUAUACAUAUACAUAUACACCACACACACACACACACAUAUA